UGUACUAAAGGGCACUGCCGUUCUCCAGGUGCUCACGGGCACUGCCGUUCUCCAUGUACUAAAGGGCACCGCCGUUCUCCAUGUACUAAAGGGCACUGCAGUUCGCUGCAUGCUCAAGGGCACUGCUGCUCUCCACUCGUUCAAGGUCACCGCAGCUCUCCACGGCUUAACGGCACCACCGGUCUCCACGUGCAGCCAGGGCACCACCACUCUCCACCCGCUCAAGGUCACCGCUGCUCUCCACACUCAAGGUCACUGUCGCUCUCUGUGGCUCAAGGGGAUUGGGGGCUGCAGUCACUGUUCUGUCUCUACUGAUGGCCAGGCAGACACAUGGAAAAGUGAAGCAGCUUUUUAUGGAUGGACAGGACCCCGAGGGCACGCAGCACCUGCAACCCCGUGGGCCUGCACCUGGUGGCCCUCUGAAUGCUUGUGCUGCUGUUUGUGGGGCCACGGCAGGCACUCAGGACAGCCACCGUUGGUCCUUCUUCUCUCUCCGGGGCAAGGCCAAGGCCCCCCCGAUCCUGGGGCCCUGGAGCACCUGGAGCACCGUGCAGUGUGAGCUUUGUCUCUGAGAAGGGGCCGGCAUAACUCUUGCAGGAUCAGCUUAGCCCCUGCCGGGGAAUCCCAGGAGGAGCCUGUGAAGGGGCUUCCCACCUGUUCCUCCUUCCCGCCUGUUCCUCCCAGUCCUGGCUCCCCACUGUGAAGCGAGAGCCUCUGAGGCUGCGGGGCUCCGGGCUCCCCCUCCCCACCCCCAAUUUCAGUGAAUGGAUUUCCUAGGUCAUAAGAUCUCCCUUAAGUCCCAACCCUGGCAGGGAACUGAGGGCCAGGGCCGGGCCGGGCGAGGCCUGGUAAGACGGCGCCGGGCAGCUCUUAAGGCUCACAAGUUCUCUUUCCUCAUCCUACACGUUUCUUCACGCCCCGCCUUUUCUGAGUUAGUUUGAAUUUCAAAACAAAAUAAAACUAAUAAAAACAAAAACACCACCCCCUCAACCCGACCCCCCAAAAAGGUGCUCCUUGGAGCAGGCGUCUGCCCU
rnacentral:lncRNA from 10 species